rnacentral:rRNA from 1 species
GGACAUUACCGAGUUAUACAACUCCCAAACCCACUGUGAACCUUACCUCAGUUGCCUCGGCGGGAACGCCCCGGCCGCCGGCCCCCGCGCCGGCGCCGGACCCAGGUGCCCGCCGCGGGGACCCCAAACUCUCUUGCAUUACGCCCCCGGGGCGGAAUUUCUUCUCUGAGUUGCACAAGCAAAAACAAAUGAAUCAAAACUUUCAACAACGGAUCUCUUGGUUCUGGCAUCGAUGAAGAACGCAGCGAAAUGCGAUAAGUAAUGUGAAUUGCAGAAUUCAGUGAAUCAUCGAAUCUUUGAACGCACAUUGCGCCCGCCAGCAUUCUGGCGGGCAUGCCUGUUCGAGCGUCAUUUCAACCCUCGAGCCCCCCCGGGGGCCUCGGUGUUGGGGGACGGCACACCAGCCGCCCCCGAAAUGCAGUGGCGACCCCGCCGCAGCCUCCCCUGCGUAGUAGCACACACCUCGCACCGGAGCGCGGAGGCGGUCACGCCGUAAAACGCCCAACUUUCUUAGAGUUGACCUCGGAUCAGGUAGGAAUACCCGCUGAACUUAAGCAUAUCAAUAAGCGGAGGAAAAGAAACCAACAGGGAUUGCCCCAGUAACGGCGAGUGAAGCGGCAACAGCUCAAAUUUGAAAUCUGGCCCCCAGGGCCCGAGUUGUAAUUUGCAGAGGAUGCUUUUGGCGCGGUGCCUUCCGAGUUCCCUGGAACGGGACGCCAUAGAGGGUGAGAGCCCCGUCUGGUCGGACGCCUAGCCUGUGUAAAGCUCCUUCGACGAGUCGAGUAGUUUGGGAAUGCUGCUCUAAAUGGGAGGUAUAUGUCUUCUAAAGCUAAAUACCGGCCAGAGACCGAUAGCGCACAAGUAGAGUGAUCGAAAGAUGAAAAGCACUUUGAAAAGAGGGUUAAAUAGUACGUGAAAUUGUUGAAAGGGAAGCGCUUGUGACCAGACUUGGGCCCGGUGGAUCAUCCAGCGUUCUCGCUGGUGCACUCCGCCGGGUUCAGGCCAGCAUCAGUUCGCCGCGGGGGAAAAAGGCUUCGGGAACGUGGCUCCUACGGGAGUGUUAUAGCCCGUUGCAUAAUACCCUGGGGCGGACUGAGGUUCGCGCUC